CCCCUCUGCCCGGCCAGGAAAGCAAGAGCAGGAGGAAGUCCCACGCAGGGCAGGUCCCUGUGCAGCCUCCUGAACUCCAGGCGCCUUCCGAGCCUCCCUGGGGUCCUCCGCCCUUCCUCCUGGGAUGGGAGGGAGACUUUGGCCUGGGAUCCUCCUGGUCCUGCGUGUCCAGAUGAAAGGGACGGGGGCGGGGGGGGAGGGAGUGCUGCACAAGGCUGGAGCGCGAGGCCAAAGCUAGAAUCGCCCUCGGAAUUUCAGAUCGUCAGCGCAGGACUCCAUCCCCUGACCAAGCACUGGGUGGGUGGUCCCAAAUCUCCACUUCUCCCUGCUACGCUGUUUCCAUCCUUAAGGUUUUGACCAUUAACGGCACUCGCGCAUUUUGUGUAUAGGAGUUUUGUGGACCCCACAAUGUCUCCUCCUCUCAGUGUCAGGAUUAAGGUCAGUAUUGUGGGCAGACGCUCGGUGCCAAGGAGCAGAAUCAACUGACAUUGGUCAGAGGUCCUAACACUGUGUACGCUUCUAAACUAAGUUAAUGUUUAGCUUAGCGAAUGAGUACAAUGAAAUCGACAGUUCUCCAUUUGUCCUAUUGUACAGAACACGUCCCAAAGAAAUGCACUAAGGGAGUGUGCAAGAUGCUUUGGAGCUGACCUCAAAUUACAAUAAAAUGUUAAUACUUUGGAUUUGUAAUGUUCUUUCUUCAAAGAACAUUUUUGUCA
rnacentral:lncRNA from 1 species